AGCCGAUUAGAAAAGCGUGCUUUUUUUUCAUCCUCUCGUGUGCGUGCGCGCGUGCGGAGCUUCCUGCCCUCCCCCACCUCGCGAUCCCAAUUCGAUCCGCUCGCCUGCCCUCCCGAUCCGCCCCGCCCUCCCCGGCCGCCCAAUUCGGCCGCCGCCGCCCGGAUUCGCGCGGGCCCGCCUGCGGAUUCGCGCUCCCCGGCGCCCCAAACCCUAGAUCCGCCGCCGCUCAUCCCGCCGCCGCCGCCGCCGCCGCCAUGUUCUGGCGCAUGACCGGCCUGUCCGGGGCCUCGCCCGUGGAUACAAUUCUGGACAAAGAAAAUUUUACAUUGGAAGAGCUUCUUGAUGAGGAUGAGAUUAUUCAGGAGUGCAAAGCACUGAAUUCACGACUCAUAAACUUCUUACGUGACAAGGCCCAGGUGGAGCAGUUGCUUCGUUACGUUGUGGAAGAAGUUCCAGAGGACAGUGAAAAAAAGCGCUCAUUCAAAUUCCCUUUUAUUGCUUGUGAAAUAUUUACUUGUGAAAUUGAUGUCAUUUUGAGGACCCUAGUCGAGGAUGAAGAGCUAAUGGAUUUGCUUUUCUCAUUUGUGAAACCUGAUCACCCACAUAGCACAUUGUUAUCUGGUUAUUUUAGUAAGGUGGUAAUAUGUUUGAUGCUGCGGAAGACUGCCCCACUUAUGAAUUAUGUUCAGGGGCAUCCAGAGAUAGUUGUCCAGCUUGUUGACCUAAUAGGCAUCACAUCAAUAAUGGAGGUGCUGAUACGACUGAUUGGUGCUGAUGAGAACAUAUACUCAAACUAUGGUGAUGCAAUGCAAUGGUUAGAAAAUACAGAUGUCCUUGAAAUGAUUGCUGAUAAGUUUAGCUCAUCAGAUUCUCCUGAAGUGCAUGCCAAUGCUGCAGAAAUUCUGUGUGCAGUGACACGAUGUGCACCACCAUCUCUUGCUACUAAGAUAUGCAGUCCAAGUUUUGUUGGAAGGUUGUUCCAUCAUGCUCUUGAAGAAUCAAGGCCCAAGUCUGUUCUGGUUCAUUCAUUGUCUGUGUGCAUAUCUUUGCUGGAUCCAAAAAGACUAGCAUCAGCUUCUUAUCAAGCAUUCAAAAGCAACUUAAGUCAUGGGGCAUUGGUCACUGCCAGUCCAGAGACAGUUGAUGGUAUGCUUGAGAGUCUAGGCAACUUGCUGAAGUUAUUGGACACUUCUGCUGAAAAUGUAUUGCCAACAACAUAUGGAUAUUUACGCCCACCUCUUGGAAAACAUCGUCUGAAGAUUGUAGAGUUCAUCUCUGUGCUGCUUACAAUUGGUAGUGAAACUGCUGAAAAGGAGUUAAUAAGGCAAUCAGCAAUAAAGCGCUCAAUUGAUUUGUUCUUUGAGUACCCUUAUAAUAACUUUUUGCACCAUCAUGUUGAAAAUAUAAUUGUUUCUUGCCUGGAGGGUAAAAGAACUGAACUUAUUGAGCAUGUUCUUAAUGAAUGUGACAUUGUUGGUAAAAUUCUUGUUGCGGAAAGACUUUCUUCUUUGUCGACUGAGUCUAAUGGGCCUACCGUACCCUCAGAAGAGAGAGCCCCUCCAAGAAUUGGGAAUGUUGGUCACAUGACAAGAAUAGCCAAUAAGCUUAUUCAGUUGAGAAAUAGUAACAGCACAAUACAGGCACACUUACAGGAAAAUACUGAGUGGGUUGAAUGGCAAACAAAUGUGCUGGUCAAACGCAAUGAAGUGGAGAAUGUUUAUCAUUGGGCUUGUGGGCGCCCAACAUCAUUACAUGAUCGUGGUAGGGAUAGUGAUGACGACGACUACCGAGACAGGGAUUACGAUGUGGCUGCUCUUGCUAAUAACUUGAGUCAGGCAUUUCGUUAUGGAAUAUACAGCAACGAUUACAUUGAAGAGGCACAAGGAUCACUUGAACGAGAUGAUGAGGCGGCAGCAGCAUCUUGUUUCUCGUCACCCCUCGCGGAGAGGUCGCCAGGCAGGAGUGCAGCUGCCUGCAGAAGGAUGGAUGCAGCCGCCGAUGCCGACUGCGGCAAGCAAAGAGCCGGAGAGGUCGGAGAGCCGAGGUCCGGCAGGGCGCAUGCCUUGUCCAUCUACAGAAGGACGAUGAAUGGGGUGCCGGCGUCGGCUACGAAGAUCGGAGCGAAGAGGUCGCCGGGCUCGGAAAACGAGCACAAGGGACGUGAACAAGCCGGAGGAAGAAAAGAAUUGGUGGGCAUUGGCCCACUUCCGCAGAUUGGGAGCAGGAGCAGUUGGCGUAAAUCUGGCUCGGAGCGAUGCCAGGAUUGGGAGUGCGAAUUAAUUGGGCAGCGGAUUAGCCCUCUGUUGGAGCCGAUCUUUUUAUUGUUUCUACCCAAAACUAGUUUUUAGCACUGCAUUUUUGGUACUCUUGGAGAUGCUCUAACAUGCAAUGUGAUAGAUGUUCACUGCAGUUUCCUGAACAUAAAAAACACAAUCAACUGCAAGUAGAAAGGAGAAAUAAUACAUUGGUAUUUUGUUUUGUGGAAAUUGGACAUUCUGGGUAGUUAGUCAGUAGAGUGCAAUAGGUUUGGAUUAUAUUAUUUUUCUUCAAGUAGAUUAAGGUUGAGAUUCUGGCAUCUUAGUGAGUUUGUGGACUGCUCUUUUCAAUGUUCUCUCAGGAUGUGUAUUUUGAUGACGAAUCAGCUGAGGUGGUAAUAUCUUCUCUGCGUCUGGGAGAUGACCAGGAAGGCUCCCUCUUCACAAAUUCAAACUGGUUCACAUUUGAUGGAGAGAGAGGCAUCAAUGACUGUUUAUCCAGUUCUGUUCCUUCAUCAUCACCCAAUUCUGAGGAGACUUCCCUAGAGACCGAGGAAGCUGAGGAUGGUAAAGUCAUUGGCACUGAGGAUGAAAUGGAAACCGUGUGCCUUGGAAAUGGCAGUACAGAGGAGGCAAAGGAUGUAGCAGAAUGUACUGAACAGCCAAAUUGUAGUAUGGCAGAUGAGCCAUUGCAAAAUACAGAAGGUAUUGAACGGCAUUCAGAUGUUUUGAAUGGCGAUACUGAAGUAGGUAUAGAUGAGGUUGCCUCCGCAGCGGCAGAAUCUUCAGCCCCAUCAGUUGAGAUAGUGGCAGAGAAAAUGGUGGAUGAACCAUUAGUGGCAGAGAGAACAUUAGGUGAACUAGCAGUCUCGUCUGAUUUGGACAAUUCUGUUUCUGAAACUUCACCUGGUGUUAAUGGAAAUGAGCCAGCUGACUCUGAAGUAUCUUCUGAACAAGUCAGCCAUGACACUGAUGUACAGCAACCAGUAAAGGAAGUUGCCAGCGACGAUGUUGAUGAAACAAAAACUGAUGCAGUAAAAGCAAGCGACUGAAAUAGCAAUACAUCGGAUUUAGCUGAUCAGAGCAAUUACUUGUGAACUGAGUCUCUGUUGACUUGGCAGUCUGCAUUGAUCUUGCUUCAUGUGUGCUCAGCUGCCACAGAAUAGUCUGGAGUAAACUGCUGUACAAUAAGCAAGUGUAUUGUUCUGCCAUCCAUCGUGGCAUAUCACUGUACAAAUGAAACCAUUGACUAACGCACGCAUCGCGUUGUCUGAAACUGGUCAUUUUCUUUGAAAUUUACCUCCAGUUCAUGUGCUCUGUCUGGUGGAAGUCUUCGUGAAGUGGUAUAUGAUACCGGAAAGAACAUUCUUUGGGUGUCUUUGGGUGGCCCGUGGCAACUGGUUUUGGCAACGAAAUCUUCUGUUUAUUUAGGUUAACUUUGGAACUGUAAUAUGAUAUGUGAUAUUAUCUCUAGUCUAGCUAUUGUUGUAAGUUUAUUCAGACUCCACACGUGUCAGUUAACCUUGAACAUGCUAUUUUUUAUAAAGAUUCCUGGCUCCUUGUAUUCUAUUA